CUGGCUCAGGAUGAACGCUAGCGACAGGCCUAACACAUGCAAGUCGAGGGGCAGCGCGGGAGAAGCUUGCUUUCCUGGCGGCGACCGGCGCACGGGUGCGUAACAGGUGUGCAAUCUGUCCAUAGUCGGGGAAUAGCCCAGCGAAAGUUGGAUUAAUGCUCCAUGUGAAUCGAGACCGCAUGAUUUUGAUUUGAAACGUAAGGACUAUGGGUGAGCACGCUUCUGAUUAGAUAGUUGGUGAGGUAACGGCUCACCAAGUCGACGAUCAGUAGGGGUUCUGAGAGGAAGGUCCCCCACAUUGGAACUGAGACACGGUCCAAACUCCUACGGGAGGCAGCAGUGAGGAAUAUUGGUCAAUGGGCGAGAGCCUGAACCAGCCAAGUCGCGUGAAAGGAUGAAGGUUCUAUGGAUUGUAAACUUCUUUUGUCCGAGGGUAAAAAGGCCACGCGUGGCUUCUUGCAAGUAUCGGACGAAUAAGCAUCGGCUAACUCCGUGCCAGCCGCAGC
rnacentral:rRNA from 1 species